UAAGACAUUUAUUAAAUCUAAAAAAAUUAUUUUGGGAAGAUUAGAGAGAAGGAAAAGGAAUAAUUGAACAAUCAUUUUUACCAGAUUUGUUUUGAAUAAAAUGGGGCAUUUACCAAUUGUUCUAAAGCAUUCCGGCGUAUGGAACUAUUAUAAUGUGUAUGAACAGUACGAGAUGGACUCAAUUGCAAUUGAAGAAUGAACAGUACGAGAUGGACUCAAUUGCAAUUGAAGAAACAGAAAAAUAUGAUGGUUUAAUUCAAUUGAUUGGUCAGCAACUUUGUAUUAAGUUGAAUUCAAAAACAUUGAAAGUUGAAUAUAAAGUUGACUUUAGCAGUAGAAGAAUGGAAAUACAUAAUGACAUGGGGUUGACCGUUUAUGUAAUGGUGCGGAAAAAAGAAAAAGGAUUCAGAAACUAUCCUUUAUGUGUUUCUCUAUUUGAUAAAUCCAUGAAAAAGGAGAGUGAUUGCUUGAAUGUUGAAUGCGCUAUUUCUGUUAUUGAUGUGGAAGAAGGAAAUUCUGGAGAUCAUGGUGCUUUAGUUGAAGUUGUUGAUAAAUGGACAUGAUCACACAAUUAUUUCUGGUCCAAAUCACAAUGAAGUGCUCGUCGGUCAAGUUUAUAAGAGAAAAGCAACUUUAAUAUCAGUGAUGACGCUUUAUGCAAUCAGAAAUAGAUUUCAAUUCAAUACUAUACAAUCAAAUGGUAGUCGGGUAUAAUUUGGUGUGUAAAUCUAAGGAAUGUGAUUGGUUGCUAAUGACAUCUAAUAAUAAAAAGUCUAAUUUGUAUAAGAUUCGUCGAUUUCGUUAGGAGCAUACGUGUCCCUUAAAGGAUCGGGUGUAUGAGCAGAAACAUGUUAGUAGUUCAUUGAUUGGAGGAAUUGUUAAGUAAAAGUUAUCCAACCAUAAAAGAGUAUAUACGGCUAAACACAUACAUGAGGAUAUUAAGAAUGAGCUUGGAUUGGAUCUGACUUAUACAAUGGCCUGGAGGGCUAGGGAGAAGGCUUUGAUUUCAUUGAGGGGUACAAUGUAUGCUUCAUACAAUAGAUUGUAGGGAUAUUUAUACAUGUUGAAAAAAACAUACCCUAGUUCGCACAUACGGAUGAAAAAAAUAGAAGACAAUGAAUUCCUAUAUGUUUUUAUAUCGCUGUAUUCUUCAAUUGAAGGAUUUGAUUCAUGUAGACCAAUUAUUGUUGUUGAUGGAAGUUACCUUAGGGGAAUAUAUAAUGGAACUUUUGUGUCAGCUAGUACACUUGAUGGAGCAGGUUAGUCCAUUAAUUUUUAUUUAUGCAUUAAUUGCACUUUAAAUAUUGUUAAGGUGCUAGUAAAUACAAUUUUGAAAUACAUUAUCUGAAAAUCACACUGUAGAAUUGUUUAUGUAUAUCUUGAUUAUGCAGGACAUAUAUUUCCACUUGCUUAUGGAAUAUUGGAUUCUGAGAAUUAUGUUACUUUGAGUUGGUUCUUUGAGUAAUUAAAAGAAGCUCAUGGUGUAAAAUCAAAUAUGUGUGUUUUGUCUGACAUAAACAAGAGUAUUAUAAAGGCUGUGUCAACGGUGUAUGAUGGUGUUGUACAAUAUGCUUGCAUCUGGAAUCUAUGAAAAAAUGUCGUAACCACUUUCAGAAAGUCGCAUGCAAAAUUAACUGAUGUGUUUUACGAAAUGGCUAAAGAAUAUACAAUUUCUGAAUUUAAUAAUCUAAUGAAGAAGGUUGAACUAAUAGAUGAUAGGGUGAAAGAGUACUUGCAGAAGGCUGGUUAUGAAAAGUAGACUAGGGUGUAUGCUACUGUAAAUCGUGGUUUUACACUCACAUCAAACAUUACAGAAACCAUGAACAGACAUCUAAAGGAAGCGAGGGAAUUGCCUAUAUAUGAUUUCUUAGAGGAAGUUAGAAAGAUGUUUGGUAGAUGGAAUCACAAUAAUAGACAAGUUGGGACAUUCACACACACCCCUAUUUGCGGUAGAUACAAUGAUCUUCUUGAGUUAAAUGAGGUCAAA